AUGAACGGUGUCCUGUCUGAGGUUGUCCUGACGCAGUCAGGUCCAGACGUGAGGAAGCCAGGCGAGUCCACUAUUCUGAAAUGUGCUGUGACGGGGGCCGAUCACAGCACAUCUAUCAUGACUUGGAUAAGACAAGCUCCGGGGAAGGGACUGGAGUGGUUGGUUUACUACUAUUCCCAGUCUCGCAUCUUCUACUCGCCUGCCAUGCAGGGGCGAUUCUCCGCUUCCAUGGACAGCUCCAGCUUGGAUCUGCAGAUGUACAGCCUGAAAGAGGAAGACACCGCUGUGUAUUACUGUGUGAGACUAGGCACGUCCACAGUGCUGCAGCCCCUUACAAAUACCCUGCAGCACAGAAACGUGCCUUCCCCUAGUGUCCCCAGGCCUCCACUCGCUGCCUCGAACGCCUCCCCGGGGCCCUGA